GAUACGGUCACUUCAGUGUCUUAUCGAAACGGUAAACUUUGGAAAAUAACUGUGAAGUUAAAUGAGGCGCAUUUUGCUACAAACUGCACCAAGUUAGUGAAAACAUUCAAGUAAAAUAGCCAGUCUUCUGUGUUGCUAAUAACCGUUAUGGCAGUAGGUACCGUUAGCUUGUUAAGCUACAGCGGAGGCCGGAUGGAAUAUAACUCUCAUCGCAGCAAACAAGUGAAGACUGGGACAUGUGGACCAUUUCACCUCUAUGACGGAAAACAGAAAAGCCUCUUCAAAUACCGAACAAGGAUUGAGUAGAGAUGUCUGAGGAGCAAUAAGUGAGGAUACACAAACGGACACUGCAGCCAAUCGGACUGAUCUGAUACAUCACAUCAUACCGGAAUUUUAUACUGUAGUGAAAACAGGGAUCCAGCAGCCGGCUCCUCCUGGGAGGUCGGCUUUUUGCCUUUUGGCAGUGGGUUCAGGAGAGGAAAUGGGGAUGAUAGGGAGCCACACUGUUGUUGUUUGCUCUCACACUAUGCAUGGCAACUAAAUGUACACAGGACACCGAGGGGGAGCUCUUGAGCUCAGAAUAUAAUUCAAUAAAACUCUAAAGUAUUAU